GGGCAGGGCUGAAGAGGAAGGCUGGUUGCGUUCGGUACACUCCAGUCGCACGUGUUCCGCUGCGGAAUGCUUCUGCCAAAACAACUAUCCACGAUCACAGCCAAAGAAAGUGCAUCAAUGGGCCCACGUUCCCCACCAUCCUGAAGCAGCUUGUUUGAUAGAACAAUGUAAUGUGCUUUUUAACUCAGUUACAGAAUCUGCAAGUGGCAAUACCUGAUUAUUUUUGGUGACACAUAUAAAUACAAUUGAUCUUUG